UACAGAGGGUGCAAGCGUUAAUCGGAAUUACUGGGCGUAAAGCGUGCGUAGACGGUAGCGUAAGUCGGGUGUGAAAGCCCCGGGCUCAACCUGGGAAUUGCAUUCGAGACUGCUCUGCUAGGGUGCGGAAGAGGGAAGCGGAAUUUCAGGUGUAGCGGUGAAAAUGCGUAGAUAUCUGAAGGAACACCAGUGGCGAAAGCGGCUUCCUGGUCCAGCACCGACGUUCAGGCACGAAAGCGUGGGGAGCAAACAGG
rnacentral:rRNA from 1 species